GGCGAAAUCCCGUCAAUGGAUUUGCCAAGAUUCUUAUGGAUUUGCACUGUUGAUAAAUAAUGCACGAUAAGUGAUAGUUUGGUGGUGAAUAAACUGAAAUUACUUCAUUUGAAGGUUUUUCACGAGCCAUCAUCUCCGCAGCAGCGGUAGCAGCGGCGGCGUCAUGUCUCACCUCCGCGGACUGGUUCGCUCGGUGUCCGCCGCCGCGCUGCUGACCCCCGCGCGGCCGGCGGCACCUCUGCGCACAGCCGUCACCCUCCCGACCGGCGGGGUGCGGCCCGAGCCCUACCGAAGUCGACUGGGCGUGGUGGGUGCGCUGUUCACCGUCAUACCUGGCCUGCUGCUCGGAGCGAGUAUCAGUAAAAACUUUGCCAGCUUCCUGGAGGAGAAUGACCUGUUUGUGCCGUCCGAUGACGACGAUGACGGCUGAUGACGGAAGACGGAUGACGCCGCCGCGUAGCUCGUUGUUCAUCUCUACCCCCGUGCUCUGAAGUCGGUGCCGUGCCUCUCGGAAGCGGCUGGUGCCUCCUCUCCGACGGUAGUGGUCCGGCCUCACUACGGGUGGUGCCUAAUGUUAGUCCCUCGUGAUGCAUUGAGAGUCAGUCUCUGUCAGACUUCCAGACUGCUAGACUGGUCUGGCCGGGUCUGGGUAAGUCUGACACACUGCGCCAAUGAAGUCUCCUUUGCUGAUGUCAUCAGCGUAAAGGGUGUGUAAAAAGACUGGUAAUAUCCGAUGCUUUUUUCUAAUAACAGAUAUUGCUUUAUGCGGUCACUCGUUAUGAACUGGGUAGGGUAGUUGUACCAACAUUUUCGGAUGCUCGAUUUAUCCUGAUGUCCGUAGUUAGGUGCUAAGGGAGUAAUGUGAUCAUGGACUGUUCGGCCGUCGCGAUCAACGCAGUCAGAUAGUGUUUGUGUGCUCUACCGUCUGGUACGGUGUUGAACGUGUCAACAAGAAAUAUCGCAGGAUGUUCAGCUGUUGGUCUGGUGGAAUGAAAUAUAUAAUUGUCGAACG